CCUAACGUGACUCUGCCGAAGGGGAAGAUUGUGGGGGGCCGCCGUGCAAAGCCGGGCGCCUGGCCGUGGCUGGUGUCGGUGCUGCUGAACGGAGAGCUGAUGUGCAGCGGUGGGGUGGUUGGUGGGCAGUGCCUGGAUUGUCACGGCUGCCCACUGCUUCACCGGAAGCCGAAAUGAGCUGGCCUGGUCUGUGGUCUUGGGUGACUAUGAUCUAAACAAGCGGGAUGAAAGCGAACAGGUGGUUCCCGUCAGCCGCAUCCUGCCGCACCCCAAGUUCGACCCAAAGACCUUCCACGCGGAUGUGGCUUUGCUGGAACUGAGCGCUCCCGUGCGCUCCUCAGCCUGGGUGUCCCCCGUGUG